GGACCUCCGUCCCGCGAGACCUCUCGUCGUUCCCGCCCCGACGCUACUUCCCCGGUGGCGGGUCGGGAACGACGGGGAAUCUGGCCGGACGGCCCCGCAGCC
rfam:Brachybacterium muris TCD-AY4 contig_5, whole genome shotgun sequence.